CGCCUUCCGCCCCGAAUCCGUGACGGGUUAAAAAAUACAUCCCAUAAUCCGCCCCGCCUCUUAACCCGCCUCCCGCCGGCGCCCCGAAUCCGCCCCGCCAACUAAUAUUUUUUAUAAAAUUAUAAUAUUAUUAAUAUUUUGUAAAAUAUAAAAUAAUAAUUUUUAAUAAUAUUAUAUAUAUAAUUUAACAAUAUUAAUGGUAAAAAUUAAAAAUAUCAAUCACAAUUCAAAACAAAAUUCAAAUAUUUCAAAUACAUUAGAAAUGAGAGUAAUAACUUAUUUGUAUUUUAAACUUUUUUUAUAAAUAUAUUAUUUUUUGGGAAUAUUUUUUAAAAAUACAAAUGAUAUUCGGG
rnacentral:lncRNA from 1 species